UACGGAGGGUGCAAGCGUUAAUCGGAAUUACUGGGCGUAAAGCGUACGUAGGUGGUUUGCUAAGCCAGCUGUGAAAUCCCCGGGCUCAACCUGGGCACUGCAGUUGGAACUGGCAAGCUAGAGUAGGGUAGAGGGGUGUGGAAUUCCAGGUGUAGCGGUGAAAUGCGUAGAUAUCUGGAGGAACAUCAGUGGCGAAGGCGACACCCUGGACUCAUACUGACACUGAGGUACGAAAGCGUGGGGAGCAAACAGG
rnacentral:rRNA from 1 species